rnacentral:tRNA from 1 species
GCCGUUGUAGCUCAGUCGGUAGAGCAGCUCACUCGUAAUGAGCAGGUCGUCCGUUCGAUUCGGAUCAACGGCUCCA